AGCCACCUCGGCCCCUGAUGCGAAUUACACAGGCCUGCGUGAUUGAAGAUCAAGGGCCGAGGUGCCACCUGAAUUUAAACCUGGGAUUUAAUCCCAGGUGAGUUCUGAAGCACUUCUAUGUUCUGAAGCACUUCUGUUAAACAAAAUCCUUUAUUUUAUUUUGUACACUUAAAAGCAGUGCUGGAAGAGGAUAUGGAAGUAGCAGCAACAAUAGCAUCCAUAAAUGUUUUCUUCAAGCACCUGCACCCUGAUUAUGGUCUCUAUACAUAAACAUCCUGCAAACCUACUCUUCUCUUUCUCCGCCACUUGAUUUUCACAACGAGUAUAGUGUGAAGAAGCUAAAAAUCAUUUGCAUACAGGCAAAUAGAAUUUUGUGCGGAUCAAUUACAAUCCCAAAUCUCAAGACUCUAAGAAUUUCAAGCCUAGUUUUCUGUUCUUUCUCGAAAACUUUUCCUUUGUUUUCUUGAAUUUUCUCCGGUGCAUUUAGUGUAAGCCUCUUUGUAAAUGUGCAAGAUUGCAACUUUAUCACCUGGGAUCUGUUUUUAUCUCAAGUUUGUGUAGUCUUUGAGCUCAAAAUUUCAAUUUUGAGCUUAUUUUGGAGAAUAUUAAGAUUGGAAUUUUGAGCUUAUUUUGGAGAAAAUUAAGAUUUCAUUAUAGGGUAUCAGAAAAUAGGCAGUUAAUUCAUGUGAUGGAAACCAAGAUUUUUCCAAAGUUAAAUUUAAGUGAGUAUUAUUUGAGUAUGGAAAGUAACAA
rnacentral:lncRNA from 1 species